rnacentral:tRNA from 108 species
GAAAAUCCGUCGACUUUAGAAAU